rnacentral:lncRNA from 1 species
AUGGGCUUGGGAAGUGGACUAAGCAAAGGCUGCAGAAGGCUUACAGACAUGAUCACAUCCUUGUCCAUGUACCUGAAGGCAGACAGGAACAUAAGUUGGCUCCUCUCUAGAUCUCCACCAUCUGCUUGUGAUCCUCCAUGGCUGUCAGUGCCCCUUAAGCCUCUUGUUAUAAAUCACCAUGAUCUCACUUUCCAGGAAACUCCACUGUUUUCACACACAAUUAUUCACAGAUAGCAGAGAGAGGAGGCUCAGGAGGAAGACCCAUGGGAUAAGAGACAUUGUAGGACACUGA